rnacentral:lncRNA from 1 species
CUGGUGGUGGCUAAGAGAGCUAAACGCUUGAGUUAUUCCAACAGGAGACUCUUUUCAGUGGUAUUUAGGAAUACUUUGUUUUUGUAAUAUUCAUAAUCUUUCAAUAAGAAAAUAAGAUGCAUUUCUCUAAAAUGUAAGAAUGCAAUUAGGGUCAAUUCAGAAACUGAUUUAUGCUAACAGGUAUUGCUGUAGUUUGAUCUUGAAUGUCCUCCAAAGACCCAUGUAUUGAAAGCCUGGUCCCCAGCCAGUGGCACCAUUGAGGCAUGGUGGAAUCUCUAGGAAGUGGAGUGCUGGGAGCCAUUAGCCAAGUAGGUAUGACAAUUUCCUUGCCAGCGUACCCCAUGUUGCUGACAUGUUGCAGUGACAUUGAAUGUAAGUGACCUUGCUCAAGGACCAAGGCAGAUUAGGGUGUUCCCGGUUUUAAGAUAAUCUUGUUUAGGGCGUUCCCAGUUUAGGUUCCAGGUUUAAGGUUUAAGAUUAUUCCUGCUGGGAAUAGGGCGUAUCCUGCUGCCUGAGUUCCCCUUGAGUUCUCACGGGAUUUAGACAGUAUAUUUUGGAGAUAGAAGCCCAGAGAAGGUGGAUUUGGGAAGAGAACGUGGAUUUCCCCAGAACGUGAUUGUAGACGGCUGGUGUGAGUUCGGGAAUAAAGAGUUGCUGUUUGAAU